UACGUAGGGUGCAAGCGUUAAUCGGAAUUACUGGGCGUAAAGCGUGCGCAGGCGGUUUUGUAAGACAGAUGUGAAAUGCCCGGGCUUAACCUGGGAACUGCAUUUGUGACUGCAUGGCUAGAGUUUGGCAGAGGGGGGUAGAAUUCCACGUGUAGCAGUGAAAUGCGUAGAUAUGUGGAGGAACACCGAUGGCGAAGGCAGCCCCCUGGGUCAAGACUGACGCUCAUGCACGAAAGCGUGGGGAGCAAACAGGG
rnacentral:rRNA from 1 species